AAUCUGAACAUCAAGACUGGCAAACUGAGCACAUCUGCAGUCAGGCCUUUCAAGCAUAAAUGCAGCAGUAAGAAAAGACAAGAGAGGAAAGAACAGGAGAAGGUAGCAAAGCUUCCUAAAUUAGAUUCCUUUGGCUUUUUUAUAAAGAGUCGCCGGCCCACAGACGACCUCCUCCGAGCAGCGAUGCAGCAGUUCGGCUGGCAUCAACAGUGGUGCAGCAACAACCAUGCAGCAGGCCUCACAAGUCAGAGACAGAAUCAGACCAGAACCAGGCAGUUUGCAGUUAGCACCCCAAGUGGCCUGACCCAAGUAGGAACGCCACUGGAGAUGAUAGAGGCCAGGACCAGGUUGAGGUGACGCCAGUCAGCGAUACAGAACAGGAGCCACUGCAGCCUUACGCCACAGAUGGGGGGCAUUUUGAUGAAAACGUUUUAGAUGCUGUUAUAUCAUAACUACAGGGUCUUGUAUACCUCUUGUAUACCAACAUAAUCGUUGUUGUUCUGAAAGGUUUUAUCAUACAUCUACAUCAGCCAGUAUCAGCUGCAGCUGGCUUUGCUGCUCUCUAUAAUUGGAUUGUGCAUACUGUGAGCCAUACUGGCUAUUUGGAGACUGCAGUUCACUCGUCUAUAACAAUGCAUGGGUAAAGGGAGUCAGAGAUUGGGGGCAUCUGUUGGAAAAAAUUGAACUCCAUUAAUCCUCUCAGUUACAUGUUGGAGCCUGUGUGGUGUAUGAACAGUGGAAAUUCCAUGGCACAAUUGAUGCGCAAUUGGAGAGGGACGUGCGUAACAUGGCGCUCUUUUGGAGACAAGUGCUGGAACACAUAGUGAAUGUGACACUAACACUGGCUACUUGCAACCUAACGUUCAAGGGGCAUAGGGACGUGUUAGGACAGCCAAACAGCGGGAAUUUCCUCACCAUUAUCAAGAUGCUGGCAAGCUAUGACCCUGUGUUGCAAGAGGGGGCAAAGGGGUCAGUUAAAUACCUCAGUCCCUCCAUCCAGAAUGACCUCCAACAGGACCUUACGGCUGAAAUAAACCAAGCACCAUUUUUUUCAGUGAUUAUGGAUACUACUCAAGAUCUGUCCGAGUGAGACCAGCUUAGCCAAGUAUACAAAUACAUCACCAUAGUAAGCAAUCCAAUGGAUAUAGAUAUCAAAGUAAUUGCGGCUUUUUGGGGAUUUUAGGAGACAGCUGACACAUCUGCAAGCGAGCUGGAAAACAAAAUCCUCUGCAGCAUUACGAAAAUGGCCUUGAUAUUUCAAAAUGUCAUGGGCAGGGCUACGACAGAGUGGUCGAUGUAAGUGGGGUUUAUUCGGGAGUACGGGCCAGGAUAAGGGCAAAGCAGCCACUUGCGACACACGUACACUGUGCAGCACACAACCUACAUCUAAACAACAUUUCUUAUGACACCAUAGAACAUUUGUAGGUGAUGGGCCAUGCUCACUGGCAUCAUCUCCACAGACCUCUCAGCUCAAUCGGACGUAACAUUGAAGUGACUACACCCUAUCCGUUGGUCUUCUAGGUAUGAGUCCCUUACUGCUAUACAGUACAGAUAUGUAGAUGUAAUGAAAGCAAAAACAAAAAUAGCUCUGACCAGUGAUAAGAACAAUGAGUGUGGUGAAGUAGCAGGAUUGAAGAAAACAAUGGAGACAUUAAAUUAACUUCUCUAGUGGACGUCCAGACUAAAGAAUUGGAGAGCGUGAAUGUUGUCUCUAAAAUACUCCAAGACACAAACACAGACAUACAGAAGGCAGUGGAAUUGCUGGAGAACCUUUUCUGAGUACUGGGGCACUUUUCACCAGGCGAGGACAACAGCACAGGCGCUCGCAGACAAAAGAAGACAAAGAGAGCUCAGAGCACCCUCAAAAGUGUAAGUGUAAGAAGAGUGAAACACCAUUUUGAUGAGUUUUGUGAAGAUGAGCGCCUAUCCGAUGCAGAAAGCUAUUUCAGAGUCAACAUUUUCAAUGUCAAUCAGGACAUAAUAAUCAACCAGCCUUCCCAAAGAUUCACCGGUAUGCAAGCAACCUCUCACAUGUUUGAGGCCCUACAGCCAAUGACCCUUCAGCUCGCAGGUGAUGAAUAUCUGUCUGACUACAUAGCAGUAACGUUUCCUGUACAACUCCUGUCAUUCAGGGCCUGUUUUAGAGCAGAGGUUGCUCAGCAGUCCUCAGUCUCCCAACAUGCCAAGAUGUGGAUCAUCAAUCUGUAACAUCCACUUUUAGUGAGGCUCACCAGCACGACAGAGGAAACCACCCAGAGUAAGUGAGAGCUCUGCCCGGUUGUGUGAGUAAAAAGAAAAGUACUCUUGGGCACAAGCAGGCGGGCUGGUGGUGUUUGGGCUAGUUACUGCUAAUUGUCUCUCAUUACCAGUGAGCAGCAAAGGUCGGCGGCCCACAGAGGACAGCGGCCCCGGGGAGGACGAGCCCGCAGCCGACCGACAAACGAGCCCCACAUACGGAUAAGGCCAGCGACACCUACCGUCAUUACCUGUGACGGUGGCAACAGCUGAUUAGGAACGCAACUUUGAACAAAUACUUCAUUACUGAACUCAAAAUACUGUACAAAUUAUUUACACCUCAACACAUUACUGCAUGUUUUAAUUAUUACUUCUUUGAAAGUUUACAUUACCAGCAACAACGAUUUCUCCCGACAUUUCAACCACGGUGAUCAGCUGAUGAACGCGUCUCCGUCCUAUGAAGCCGACAGCUACAAGCAACUGGUUAAACUCACCGCAGAAAAAGUUUAUGGAUGCGAAUAAUAUACUUCAUGUUAGCUCUUGUCAGCUAUACAUAUUUACAGUAGUUUGUAGGCUAGUGAUCUAGCAACUCGUUACCAUGUGUCAGAGUGCCAUGGUUCUGAUAGCUUUCUCAUUGAUCUCUCUAUUUUCCCAAUACAAUAGCCAAAGUAACUAAUCUGACUGUAAAAUCCAACAUAUUGUUGGUAAAAUAUAUAAACCUAAUGGUGUGUGUGUGUGUGUGCGCUUCAUAACUAGUAACUAGCAUGCACUUGGACCUGUAAUAACUACCUUAUGCCACUGAAUAUCAGUGUCUAUAAUGUGUGAUGUAAAGAUGAUACAGUGUAAAUUUCAUGGAACGUCAGUAACCAAAGUCUUGAAAAUACAAUUUUCAUGCAAAUUGAACUUCUGGUAAUUUCAGGCAUAAUUAGCUUUGGAUGGAUGCACAGUUUAUUUUUCAUCAUCUUCUAGAUGUGAUUUCUCUUGUGCUUGUCAAUCCUGUCUCCCCAGAAUUACAUUCAUAUGUAAUAAUUUGCAAAACCACUAUGUUGAAUUGCAACAUUUAAGAUCCAAAGCAGUAAGUAAGUUGACACAGAAUCUUUAGAGCAGUGGUCUCAAAAACUGCAUUUACCUUAGUAGUAGUUUCACAGACACACUAAGAAGAAACUGUUUUUCUUUUCUCUCAUUUGCACCCAGCAUACUGCUCCACAUUUUCAGUGAUUUAGUAAUUUUUGGAUUUCUAUUUGAGACUUUAUUCCUGGAGAAUGUCAGCUUUUUGAUUGUGGAUGAGACAAGAAACAGUCUGCUGAAACUCCACAAGAAAAUAAAUUGUGAACUCUUCUUGAAACUGACUGCAAAUUGUUACUAUAGUUAGUUUGCCACAGUAAAUAUGAGUGCUAAAGCAUUUAUUUUGAAAAUUAGUGCAUCUUGCUAAAUGUUUAAUGUGAAAUGCAAAACCAGUUUUCAUGUUUCUAUUUUGCAGACUUGGUGAAAAGUUAUUUAAUUUUUUAAUCGAAAUGGAAACAUCACAACAGGAUCAGUUAACGUUGUCUGUGAUGUUCAAUAAAGAGAUUUGUCCUCAUGCAAGAACGUUUUCCUGUUCUUUCCCAAAUCUCUCUUACUUUUAUCUGCCAGGUUUUCAAAUUGGAUUCAACAAACUCUGUUAAUGUAGAAGUUAAUAAUGUAAUAACUGCCAAUAACGUAAUAAUAUUUUCAUUCUUAAUGUAAUAAAAGUAGAUAAUGUAGUAACUUACCCGUAAUGUAAUAAAAUG